rnacentral:lncRNA from 1 species
UCGAACCUCGCAAUUUGCAAAGGUCCAGUGCGUCACAUUCACCCCUCCUAAAAAGGAGUUUCAUCCGCGAAACUCGAAAGCAAACGUCAUACCUCAAGACUCCAUCUGAAAAAGAUGGGGAUAGCGCUCCUGCAAAGCGCUCUCCAGCUCCCACGUGGCCUCCCGCUCCCCGUGGUUGCUCCAAAGGACCUUCACAUACGGAAUAUCCCGAUUCCGCAGCUUCUUCACUUCGCGAGCUAGAAUCUUCACAGGUUGCUCCUCGAAGCUCAGAUCCUCACGCAGCUCCACUGGUAUAGUUCCCAAAACAUGAGCUGGAUCAUGAGUGUACC